GCCUCUAAUUGGUACCCGGCCGCCGCUUCAAAGUUCAGAGGCUAUUGCGACUGCAAUGCCCUCGUGGGGAAUGUGCCCCGGAGUGUUUUUGCACGCACACGAACCAGACACGUUUCUGAACAUCAUCAAGGAGCACAAGGGAAGUCCGCUGUAACCUGUUGUGCCUUUGGAAAACCUGGAGAUUGACGGAGCUCAUUUUCGACCUGAAGGACAACCCUAAGGGAGAGGAAUUAUUAUUACCAUUCUGAUUUCAUCAACGAAGACAUAGAAGCCUAAAGAAGUUAAGUAACUUGCCCCAAGUUAUUCAGUG